GCAUAUCCAAUAAAGCCGGAAGGAAAAGGAAACCCAACAGGGAUUGCCUCAGUAACGGCGAGUGAAGCGGCAACAGCUCAAAUUUGAAAUCUUGGCCCUCGGGUCCGAGUUGUAAUUUGCAGAGGAUGCUUUUGACGAGGUGGCGACCGAGUGCCCUGGAACGGGCCGCCGUAGAGGGUGAGAGCCCCGUAUGGUCGCACUGCCGAGUCUCUGUAAAGCUCCUUCAACGAGUCGAGUAGUUUGGGAAUGCUGCUCUAAAUGGGAGGUGUAUGUCUUCUAAAGCUAAAUACCGGCCAGUGACCGAUAGCGCACAAGUAGAGUGAUCGAAAGGUGAAAAGAACUUUGAAAAGAGAGUUAAAAAGUACGUGAAAUUGUCAAAAGGGAAGCAUUUAUGACCAGACUUGGGCGUGGUUGAUCAUCCGGCGUUCUCGCCGGUGCACUCUGCCCGCCUAGGCCAGCAUCAGUUCGCCUCGGGGGAGAAAGGCUUCGGGAAUGUGGCUCCUUCGGGAGUGUUAUAGCCCGUUGCGUAAUGCCCUGGGGUGGACUGAGGUCCGCGCUCGCGC
rnacentral:rRNA from 1 species